GACGGCAAGCAGGCGGAAGGCUGAACAAUGUACAGCGACAUAACAGUGCGCUAACAGAAUCAACAGCCUGACGACUGCCAACAACAGCAGAGGGCCGUUUACCUAUGUGACGUUAUAGACAUUUUGGGGUAAAAAAAUUAGACAGAAUCGGUCAUACAUGGGUACCAUAAACACCAUUAUUUUUCGUUUAUUCAAAAUAAUUUCGGAGUGUAAUUUCGCGGAAGACUCCUAGCUCCCUAAGAUGUUAUUAAUUUUCUACAUCUAACGCUGAGAUAAAAACAAAUCUAAGAAAUUUCAUCGCGAUUGUUCGAGUGCCACAAACAUUUCGUAUCUAAAAACUCAUAUGCUUGUAAAUAUCAGCAGAAAAGCAAGAAUAUGUAAUCCGCAUGUGUGUAUAUACAAUGAGUGCAGCUGUAUACAACAACAAAUAAUUCAUAACAACUAAGGCACACGAAUAUCAUACAUAUAAGGUACAAAUAAGAGAAAGAAAGCAAAAUAAUUAGCCACCACAGCCAUCAGCAGCCGCACCACCACUAGCGCAGCUAAGCAAGCAAAUCUUGACAAUGCGACAUGAUUAUUAUGAGAUAAGAGUUGGACCGUCGGUGGAAGCAGCAACAGCCGUUCGCCAGUACGUUUAUGAUGAGCGCAUAUGAGUAUUAUAAUUUCGACGUACAAAUAUGAGCACAACGAGAAAUAACUACAAACAUAUACAACUGAAUAACAUAAAUAUGCUUGUAGAUAUGUAUGUUUGCAACUGAAAUAUAUUGCUGCGAGCGCGGCAAGUGUACGUGCACUCUGCUCCCAGCACAGGCUCUGCGAGCGCAUUGACUGACUGGCUACCUGGUUGAGUUGCCGCCUGAUGACUGCCGGUUCACAUAUGAAGACUUUUGUCGUCUAAACCGGUUUUUUGUAGACGAGAAGACGACGAGGCUCGGGCGGCACGGUUUGUGUUCCGGCGGAAAUUUGAAUUUUAUAGUAUUAUCUUAUUUUGUAUGCACUAUAUAAAUAUGUACACAUGUAAAAUAUCAUACAAUAGAAAUAUUUUAGGAAAGGGUAAAUAAGGAUAAAAUUUAGAUUUUGAAAAAUAUUUUUUAAUAGAAUUUGCGAAUUGAAUAAGUAUAGGAAUGCAGACUCCAACUCGUGUCACUCGUAUAAACGAUUCCAAAAUAUACUGAACGGCAAAGAGUACUCGUGUGAACGCAGUCUGAGUAACCCAGUUAUCGUGAUGGGUAGCUGAGUGAGUGAUGGCGCUGUCAAUGCUUCGCCGCACACACACACAAAUUUCGCUUGACUGAUGUCUUGUGUAAUUGAGUAGCGAGCGCGCUUGAAGUACUGCUUUUACGGUUUCUUUUGCUUUUCUCCGCUCACCGAUUUACUAUACGCGCUACCAGUAAUCAGCGCUGUUUGUAUGAAAACAAUGUUCCUGGUGAUUUGUGAUGCUUGCUAGCAGUGCUGUCGCUUACUGCCUACUUAUGUAUGUAUGUACAUAUGCAUGUGCUUGACAAGUGUUGACACCAGACGCUAAAUAUUUUGCGCCCGGCAAUGCUAGUGGUUCGGUGAUAUACCAAAAACAGAAAGCAAAUGAAAUAUACGAAUCGAGUGUUCAAAAACUAAGUGAUCAAAUUCAGGUCGCUCCACCUCUAUUCUUUACUACUCUUCGCUGCCACUUCAACUCGCUUUGAGCAACUCAUUUCAUGUGCGCUCUCAGUCUCAGUGUAUGGCUCUGUCAAUUGACUGUUUAAAAUGUUUUGAAGAAACCUAAGCGGCUGCUUAAUACCGCGCAGUGACGCUAAUCGCCCAGCUGUGCGGCUCACUUAACAUCACUAAACACCACACGUCACCAACGCACCACCUAAAACACAUUUCUGCUCACUGCGUCUUCCGUUGCUGCCUCUGGCCUACACCGCUGUUGCUGUAGCUUCACAUUCGGCGUCGUUGUGAUUUCCUUUUCUUUUCGCUUUAUUUUUACUUGCGGUGGUGUGGCUCUCCACUCGGCGGCGCGAUGAACUCUUCCAAGCGUACGCCGCACAAUAGAGUUCACCUUCAUUUUCAUUAUAGCUGGCGAGCAGACAGACAUACAAACAUGUGUGUAUUGUAUGCAUGCGACUGAUAAAAUACAUAUGUAUAUUCAUACAUAAUUAAAUAAUUAUUUAUUGUUCCGCUUAUGAGUCGCUACGAGUAUGAAAGUCGCUUAUUAAGUUUUAAAUGUUUUUGUUGUUGAAAUUUGUGUAAACAACUUUAAUAUAAAUAAAGUAAAAAUAGUAAUAUACAAGUAUGUAUACUCAGCUAGCUAGAAGAGUUAGGCUUUUAAGCAAGGCGAAGCUUGCAUUGUCAACACCUAGAAGGAAACGAAAUUUUUAACACUAUUUCUACACAUAAUUUACAAGAUGAACCAUCAUCAAGUUAAGAAGGGCAACACAAUUUUUUCCGAUACGCAUCAGAGUAACUGCUGCCCUUGACUUAUCUUUUAAUAUUUCUCCAUGAAAAUUUAACCUAAUACUCUUCAAAAGUCAUACUAUAAUGUACGAGUUUUACUGUUUCAUAAAACAAUCAUAAAAUAAAGCACAGGAAUGA